AGAGUUUGAUCCUGGCUCAGAUUGAACGCUGGCGGCAUGCUUUACACAUGCAAGUCGGACGGCAGCACAGAGAAGCUUGCUUCUUGGGUGGCGAGUGGCGAACGGGUGAGUAAUAUAUCGGAACGUACCGAGUAGUGGGGGAUAACUGAUCGAAAGAUCAGCUAAUACCGCAUACGUCUUGAGAGGGAAAGCAGGGGACCUUCGGGCCUUGCGCUAUUCGAGCGGCCGAUAUCUGAUUAGCUAGUUGGUGGGGUAAAGGCCUACCAAGGCGACGAUCAGUAGCGGGUCUGAGAGGAUGAUCCGCCACACUGGGACUGAGACACGGCCCAGACUCCUACGGGAGGCAGCAGUGGGGAAUUUUGGACAAUGGGCGCAAGCCUGAUCCAGCCAUGCCGCGUGUCUGAAGAAGGCCUUCGGGUUGUAAAGGACUUUUGUCAGGGAAGAAAAGGCUGUUGCUAAUAUCAGCGGCUGAUGACGGUACCUGAAGAAUAAGCACCGGCUAACUACGUGCCAGCAGCCGCGGUAAUACGUAGGGUGCGAGCGUUAAUCGGAAUUACUGGGCGUAAAGCGAGCGCAGACGGUUACUUAAGCAGGAUGUGAAAUCCCCGGGCUCAACCUGGGAACUGCGUUCUGAACUGGGUGACUAGAGUGUGUCAGAGGGAGGUAGAAUUCCACGUGUAGCAGUGAAAUGCGUAGAGAUGUGGAGGAAUACCGAUGGCGAAGGCAGCCUCCUGGGAUAACACUGACGUUCAUGCUCGAAAGCGUGGGUAGCAAACAGGAUUAGAUACCCUGGUAGUCCACGCCCUAACGAUGUCAAUUAGCUGUUGGGCAACUUGAUUGUUCAGUAGCGUAGCUAGCGCGUGAAAUUGACCGCCUGGGGAGUACGGUCGCAAGAUUAAAACUCAAGGAAUUGACGGGGACCCGCACAGCGGUGGAUGAUGUGGAUUAAUUCG
rnacentral:rRNA from 1 species